rnacentral:rRNA from 1 species
GGAUGAACGCUGGCGGUAUGCUUAACACAUGCAAGUCGAACGGUGUCUUCGGACAUCGUGGCGGACGGGUGAGUAACGCGUGAGAAUCUAACGAUUGGUUCGGGACAACCACUGGAAACGGUGGCUAAUACCGGAUAAGCUGAAAAGUGAAAGAUUAAUUGCCAAUUGAAGAGCUCGCGUCUGAUUAGCUAGUUGGUGGGGUAAGAGCCUACCAAGGCGUCGAUCAGUAGCUGGUCUGAGAGGACGAGCAGCCACACUGGGACUGAGACACGGCCCAGACUCCUACGGGAGGCAGCAGUGGGGAAUAUUCCGCAAUGGGCGAAAGCCUGACGGAGCAAUACCGCGUGAGGGAGGAAGGCUCUUGGGUUGUAAACCUCUUUUCUUUGGGAAGAUAAUGACGGUACCAGAGGAAUAAGCAUCGGCUAACUCCGUG